rnacentral:rRNA from 1 species
AGCGAACGUUAGCGGCGGGCCUAACACAUGCAAGUCGAACGCGAAAGGUCUUCGGACUGAUUAGAGUGGCGCACGGGUGAGUAACACGUAGGUAAUCUACCCUUUGGCGGGGGAUAACGUUCCGAAAGGAGCGCUAAUACCGCAUAAGACCACGGAGUCUCCGGACGCUGUGGGAAAAGGUGGCCUCUUCUUGAAAGCUAUCACCGGAGGAUGAGCCUGCGUCCCAUCAGCUAGUUGGUAAGGUAUGGCUUACCAAGGCAAAGACGGGUAGCUGGUUUGAGAGAAUGAUCAGCCACACUGGCACUGGAACACGGGCCAGACUCCUACGGGAGGCAGCAGUGAGGAAUAUUGGGCAAUGGGCGAAAGCCUGACCCAGCCACGCCGCGUGAGUGAUGAAGGCCCUCGGGUCGUAAAGCUCUGUGGAGAGGGACGAAAAACCUGGGGUCUAAUAGGCCCCGGACUUGACGGUACCUCUUUAGCAAGCACCGGCUAACUCUGUGCCAGCAGCCGCGGUAAAG